GAUGAACGCUGGCGGCGUGCCUAACACAUGCAAGUCGAACGAAGCGUCUUAAAGGAAGUUUUCGGAUGGAAUUUGGGAUGACUGAGUGGCGGACGGGUGAGUAACGCGUGGAUAACCUGCCUCAUACAGGGGGAUAACAGCUAGAAAUGGCUGCUAAUACCGCAUAAGCGCACAGUGCCGCAUGGUACGGUGUGAAAAACUCCGGUGGUAUGAGAUGGACCCGCGUCUGAUUAGGUAGUUGGUGGGGUAACGGCCUACCAAGCCGACGAUCAGUAGCCGACCUGAGAGGGUGACCGGCCACAUUGGGACUGAGACACGGCCCAA
rnacentral:rRNA from 1 species